UCCCUCCAUGAACGAAUAGUGAUUGAUACUC
rnacentral:piRNA from 1 species